rnacentral:rRNA from 1 species
UACGGGGGGGGCAAGCGUUGUUCGGAAUUACUGGGCGUAAAGGGCUCGUAGGCGGCCAACUAAGUCAGACGUGAAAUCCCUCGGCUUAACCGGGGAACUGCAUCUGAUACUGGAUGGCUUGAGUUCGGGAGAGGGAUGCGGAAUUCCAGGUGUAGCGGUGAAAUGCGUAGAUAUCUGGAGGAACACCGGUGGCGAAGGCGGUUCUCUGGGCAUGUCCUGACGCUGAGGAGCGAAAGUGUGGGGAGCGAACAGG